GCUUCCUAAUGGACCUUUGUGCAAGGUUAGAAGGGAGAGAAAAAUGGUGAAUAGAGGUUAUGAUAGUGAUGAGUGAGCUUUGAGAAUUGUUCCUUUUUGAUUGAAGAGUGAUGUAUGUUUAUAUAGUUUGGAAGCCGUAAUCGAGUCGGGUAGCUCGGGUAGAAUGGUUAAGGCAGAGCAAUUGCACUUGGGGUUGGUUACGGGAUGCGAUUAAGUUUGUGAAUCAGAAGGAAAAUAGAUUGGUUAUGUUGAUUUGGACUAAAACAGGUUUUAGUUGCCUAGUUAUUCGCAGCUUUGGAUUUUUCUGCUAUGCAUAUGCUGCUGUUGGGCAUUGCCUUGCUUGAAUAUUUGAAAUCGAUUUCUGGAACUGCUGUUGGAUUAUUGAUGCAAGAUUAUGGAUGUUGGCUUUCGAUGAAGUUAGUUUUAGUUGAGUUAUCAGUUAAAUUUGGUUGAUAUAUUUUUACUUCUGUUAGCAGGUUUGGAUAUGUUAUGACUUUCAUGUGCUGUGGAGCUUUUGGAGGUGUCCUGUUAAUAGAGAAAAGGUUAGAGUGAAAUUGCUAAGUUGUUGGUUAGACUCACUUGUUAGAAUUUGAAAACAAUUACAGUUUGGAUGUGAUUAAAGGAAAAAGUUAGAAAUUAUUUGCAAGCUU